UGCAGGUGUAAAGCCUGACUACUUAGAUUGCGUACUAUAUACAGGGACAAUGAACAGAUAAAGGACUGCUUAGUAAAAUAGUCGUGAAUGAACUCUAUGUAGAAAGUGUAAGAGUGACUGUACUCAGGUGCACGUGUUCAUGUGAAGGACAAAGAUGACGGUUCUUUUAGUCCCAGUGAGCUUUAUGUGAGUUGCACAAUUUGCAAAGUCGCAGAAAAUAAACUAUCAUAAAGUUCGACUGUACAAACGUUGUGGAACGAUUUGCAACGCGAAUGGUCAUCUGCAGUGAGUGAACAAUGGAGACAGUGAAGGCCGUGCGAUUCUUCCGGAGAGGCCGAGGCUUUGUUCACAUUGUCGGAUGGAUGAUUCGCACAGUGCGUGUUCGUAGAUGAACACCAGGGAAAAAUCGAAUCGAUUGAACGGAUAACCAAGUUUUUCCAAGUGUGUGCUUCGUUCACAAUUUUCACUGUUCCAUUGGAUUUCGUGAGUACUAGCAACUGCACACACAUUCACAUGAGCUCCAACGUAGUGCGCCAACCAGAGACUUAAACCUCGACCUUCCAAUCAGUAACACAAAGCCUUAACCACUAAGCUAACCCCGAGUAUAUUAUAUAUAAAUAAGAAGAGUACAUUUUCAAGAGAACAUUUAAGUAUCACCCAAAAGGCGCUUGUAAAGAUUUUUAUAACCGAGUUUAAACAUUUAACUUCUAUGGUUUCAGAGUAGAUUCGGACAACGUGGACUCUUUAGGAGGACCCUUGUAAGCAAUACUAUGAGACCCUGAUUGUGAAUCCGAUCCUACGCGUGUCUCCAAAAAAGGUUCUCGAAAUGACCAUGACCGCCUUAAUUACAGACCCUCUGGAGCACUUAGCACAAGGCAUUGACGCAUUUCUCAGGGUUUUACUGGAUCCCCUGCCUAUUAGGCUUCAUAUUUCUGUGCUUCUUGUAUUCGUGCUCUCCAUCAUGGUCUUUAUGUACUGCGCUGGCCAAGCAGCUGUACACCAUGCCUUUCUUGGACCUCUCCGAGGAGGUCGUUGAGAUCCUCCACCUGGCAUUGCACAGCAGCCUGCUGCUCCUUCAAUACAGGGUUUAGAGGAACACAG